rnacentral:lncRNA from 1 species
UACGGGACUUGUAUAAAAAGUUGCAAAAGUAAUAAUGUUGUCAUUUAGCUCCAACAUGAAACUUAUUCUCAUAUGUAUUGCUUUGUUGGUGAUCGGGAAAGCUGAAGAAACGGAACCUUCAGGGAACUUAGAGACACUUGGUGAUGGCCCUUUAAGUAAAGCUUUCGGUCUACAACGGCUGCAAAGGGAACGGAAUCCAACGGAUGAAGAAUGACAAGGCUCCAGUUGAUCAUAGAGUAACUUCUGUUUCACAUAUAGUAUUUCACGAUCUCUGGUUGACGUGAAAUAAGUUGUACCAGUGAACAGAGGGACUUUAUUUUUUUUAAAACGUUCAUUACAUCUGCGAAGGCAAUUACUUGCUCACAUGAGGAAAAGACGAACUAUUCAUAAUAAACGUUUUAAUGUAAUCGCUUUAAGGAAGUACGAGCGUUUUUUUUUUUCAUCGUAUCCGCCAUUUUGAAAAAUGUUUCUCCGAAUAAUGCUUUCUUACAAAAGUUUUGUCAAAAAUUAAUGAUAGAUAAUUAAAAUAUGGCUAAUAAUGUACAAUUUAAGCAAAUAUAUUCUACUUUUUGCAAAAAAGUAUCACCCUUAUUUUUGGUUGGUACUUGCCUAAAAUUGACGUAAGAUUUACAAUGGGGUAGGAGUAGGUAAUGUCAAAUAUCUACUAAAGUAGAUUAGGUUUAGUUUUGAAAUUUUCUUAACUGAUACAUAUAAUGUUGGGCUAUAACUGAAACAAAAAAUACCAUAAUUCACAAAUUUGUAACACUAUUUUCUUAAUAAAUCUCUUAGAUGCACGGUGACACCAACUUUUUUUACUUUCCAUUUUGAAGCACUUUUGUGGGUCAUCAAUCUG